AUGCCACAAAUUUGGAAAACUCAGCAGUGGCCACAGGACUGGAAAAGGUCAGUUUUCAUUCCAAUUCCAAAGAAAGGCAAUGCCAAAGAAUGCUCAAACUACUGCACAAUUGCACUCAUCUCUUAUGCUAGGAAAGUAAUGCUCAAAAUUCUCCAAGCCAGGCUUCAGCGAUAUGUGAACUGUGAACUUCCAGAUGUUCAAGCUGGUUUUAGAAAAGGCAGAGGAACCAGAGAUCAAAUUGCCAACAUCUACUGGAUCAUCAAAAAAGCAAGAGAGUCCCAGAAAAACAUCAAUUUCUGUUUUAUUGACUAUGCCAAAGCCUUUGACUGUGUGGAUCACAAUAAACUGUGGAAAAUUCUGAAAGACAUGGGAAUACCAGACCACCUGACCUGCCUCUUGAGAAACCUAUAUGCAGGUCAGGAAGCAACAGUUAGAACUGGACAUGGAACAACAGACUGGUUCCAAAUAGGAAAAGGAGUACGUCAAGGCUGUAUAUUGUCACCCUGCUUAUUUAACUUAUAUGCAGAGUACAUCAUGAGAAAUGCUGGACUGGAAGAAGCACAAGCUGGCAUCAAGAUUGCCAGGAGAAAUAUCAAUAACCUCAGAUAUGCAGAUGACACCACCCUUAUGGCAGAAAGUGAAGAGGAACUAAAGAGCCUCUUGAUGAAAGUGAAACUGGAGAGUGAAAAAGUUGGCUUAAAGCUCAACAUUCAGAAAACGAAGAUCAUGGCAUCUGGUCCCAUCACUUCCUGGGAAAUAGAUGGGGAAACAGUGGAAACAGUGUCAGACUUUAUUUUGGGGGGCUCCAAAAUCACUGCAGAUGGUGACUGCAGCCAUGAAAUUAAAAGACGCUUACUCCUUGGAAGAAAAGUUAUGACCAACCUAGAUAGCAUAUUCAAAAGCAGAGACAUUACUUUGCCAACAAAUGUCCGUCUAGUCAAGGCUAUGGUUUUUCCUGUGGUCAUGUAUGGAUGUGAGAGUUGGACUGUGAAGAAGGCUGAGUGCCAAAGAAUUGAUGCUUUUGAACUGUGGUGUUGGAGAAGACUCUUGAGAGUCCCUUGGACUGCAAGGAGAUCCAACCUGUCCAUUCUGAAGGAGAUCAGCCCUGGGUGUUCAUUGGAGGGAAUGAUGCUGAAGAUGAAACUCCAGUACUUUGGCCACCUCAUGAGAAGAGUUGACUCACUGGAAAAGACUCUGAUGCUGGGAGGGAUUGGGGGCAGGAGGAGAAGGGGACAACAGAGGAUGAGAUGGCUGGAUGGCAUCACUGACUCGAUGGAUGUGAGUCUGAGUGAACUCCAGGAUUUGGUGAUGGACAGGGAGGCCUGGUGUGCUGCGAUUCAUGGGAUCAGAAACAGUCAGACACAGCUGAGCGACUGA
rnacentral:lncRNA from 1 species